AAAGAAAACUAAAGAAACUUUUCAACUCACAGCUUCUUUUUCUGAUUCAGAGUAUUUGUGACCCUCAAUCAUCAUGGCAAAUACUGAAGAACAGAGGGAGGCCCAAACCAAGCCCUCUCUCAAGCCAUUGAGUAUGAAACAG